rnacentral:misc_RNA from 1 species
AAGUCGUAACAAGGUUUCCGUAGGUGAACCUGCGGAAGGAUCAUUACAAAUAAAGCUGGUAGGAAGUGGGGGUAUUGAUCAUGUAGUGGUAGAGCGAAGCAGUCCGGGCUGCCUCCCUCGAAAAUGAUCUUACAUGUCCCCCACAGCCUGAAGGUCGAAUUACAACCCUUGAUAUCUCACCUGUUGCUUUGGGGUGCUCAGUGCCCCAGGGACCCAACUCUCUUGCAUUUAGUGACGUCUGAGUACUAUUAAUAUUUAAAA